AGAGUUUGAUCCUGGCUCAGAACGAACGUUGGCGGCGUGGAUGAGGCAUGCAAGUCGAACGUGAAAGCCGCAAGGUGAGUAGCGUGGCGGACGGGCGAGUAACACGUAACCAAGCUACCUGCGAGACGGGAAUAACCUCGGGAAACCGAGGCUAAGACCCGAUGGCCUGCCGGGGACGCAUGUUCCUGGUAGUAAAUGGGCGGGAUCCUUUGGGAUCGCCUGCUCGCAGAGGUGGUUGCGGCCCAUCAGCUAGUUGGUAGGGUAACGGCCUACCAAGGCAACGACGGGUAGCCGGCCUUAGAGGGUGGUCGGCCGCACUGGGACUGAGACACUGCCCAGACUCCUACGGGAGGCUGCAGUCGAGAAUCUUCCGCAAUGGGCGAAAGCCUGACGGAGCGACGCCGCGUGGAGGACGAAGGCCUUCGGGUUGUAAACUCCUGUCACGAGUUAAGAAGGUCGGCCUACGAACAGUGGGACGAUUUGACGUAAGCUCGAGAGGAAGCACUGGCUAACUCUGUGCCAGCAGCCGCGGUAAUACAGAGAGUGCAAACGUUGUUCGGAAUUACUGGGCUUAAAGCGCACGUAGGCUGCGUCGUAAGUGUCAGGUGAAAUCCCACGGCUCACCCGUGGAACUGCCUGGCAGACUGCGAUGCUAGAGUGUGGUAGGGGAGAGCGGAACUCUUGGUGGAGCGGUGAAAUGCGUAGAUAUCAAGAGGAACACCGGUGGCGAAGGCGGCUCUCUGGUCCACAACUGACGCUGAGGUGCGAAAGCUAGGGGAGCAAACGGGAUUAGAUACCCCGGUAGUCCUAGCUGUAAACGAUGGGCACUAGCUUGGGGUCUCCCUGUGUGAUCCCAGGUGAAGUAAAAAUGAUAAGUGCCCCGCCUGGGGAGUAUGGUCGCAAGGCUGAAACUCAAAGGAAUUGACGG
rnacentral:rRNA from 1 species